GGCUCCGUAGCUCAGUUGGAUAGAGCAGGGGACUUCUAAGCCCAAGGUCACUGGUUCGAUCCCAGUCGGAGCCACCA
rnacentral:tRNA from 1 species